UAAUAAUAAUUAUCAGAAAAAGUUCAUAUUUUUCAUAAUCAAAGAGAGAGACGAGUGUUUUUUGUGAAAUGAAACUCAGGGAGACAUAAAAGUUUGCAUCUUGAAUAGAUAUAUUAAGAGGCACUCUGUCUGAACAAAGAUGAGCGACCAAGGUCCACCUACCAUUAGGCAUACCUACAGAAGUUUAUGAUUUCUUUGCGUACAUUCCUGGGUACGAUCAUAUCGUCCAAACCUGAUGAUGCUCAGAUCGAAAUCGUCGAUGGUGGAAAGACUUCAUAUGCUAGCUUGGUGGAAAAACCACACGGUCGUGUCAGACUCUGUGAAGGGCACUAACUGGAAAAAAUACAUGGGCUGGAUAAGAGACCAAGGACCUCAUAGUGACAUCUCUUUACUAAACCAAUGUUUCUAUUUUGUUAUCUUGAAUAUUUGACUGAAAGUUUUCUCAUCACUUUCAAUAUUUUUUUUGGCAGAUACUUGCUGGGCUAUAGUGGUUGAUUAGUGCACUAAGAUUCAUUUUAAAAUAUGAUGCAACAUACACUGAUUAUUCUGCUCAGUAUCUGGUAGAUUAUGCUGACCAAUCAAAGGGAUUAAUGGCAAACCACUCAAGAAAAGGGCAUUAUUGUUAUACACACUCUAUAGCGAAAGGCUUAGAGUUUGUAAAGCAUGGAGGGAUACCAUUGGCAAAACAUUGCAAGUACGUAGGUUGUAAGAAAGCCGACCGCUUAUCGUCCACCAAAGGAUCAUUCUCAUCGCUUCGGUACAACGACGAAGGUCUUCCGUAGAUGACGCAAUUGACUCCAUUCCUUGCCAUUAUUGGGAUCAUCAAGACUUAAUUCUGUUAAUUGUAUAUUGAAUGAUUUGGAUAUAUAUAUGUUUAUCAAGACUUUUGAGUUUUCCAGUCGAAUGCAUUGAACACAGACAAGAUCUAAUAGGUACAAAAACAAAAUCUGAUUACAUGUUUCCCAUAAUCUUUGUAAGGGACCCCAUUAGGUCGGAACUUGUAGACAAUUGAGAAGACAGGUGUAAGAUGCAGUUAUGGGAGUUUCAGAGGUCAGACACAUGCAUUGUUGCUUUGACUUUCUUCCGUUGACUCUAGACAUAGUUGUUGUCUUCUAAUCUGGAGUCUUACAAAGAAUAAAUCCCCCUAAUCUAAAAAAAAA